AAAAUGAGAGUUUGAUCCUGGCUCAGGAUAAACGCUGGCGGCAUGCCUAAUACAUGCAAGUCGAACGGGGGUGCUUGCACCCCAGUGGCGAACGGGUGAGUAACACGUAUCUAACCUACCUCAUAGCGGGGGAUAACUUUUGGAAACGAAAGAUAAUACCGCAUGUGAAUCUUAUUAUCGCAUGAGAAAAGAUUGAAAGGACCGUUUGGUUCACUAUGAGAUGGGGAUGCGGCGUAUUAGCUAGUAGGUGAGGUAAUGGCUCACCUAGGCGAUGAUACGUAGCCGAACUGAGAGGUUGAUCGGCCACAUUGGGACUGAGAUACGGCCCAGACUCCUACGGGAGGCAGCAGUAGGGAAUUUUUCACAAUGGACGAAAGUCUGAUGAAGCAAUGCCGCGUGAGUGAUGACGGCCUUCGGGUUGUAAAGCUCUGUUGUAAGGGAAGAAAAAAUAGAGUAGGAAAUGCCUCUAUAUUGACGGUACCUUACCAGAAAGCCACGGCUAACUAUGUGCCAGCAGCCGCGGUAAUACAUAGGUGGCAAGCGUUAUCCGGAUUUAUUGGGCGUAUAGGGUGCGUAGGCGGUUUUGCAAGUUUGAGGUUAAAGCCCGGAGCUCAACUCCGGUUCGCCUUGAAAACUGCAUUACUAGAAUGCAAGAGAGGUAAGCGGAAUUCCAUGUGUAGCGGUGAAAUGCGUAGAUAUAUGGAAGAACACCUGUGGCGAAAGCGGCUUACUGGCUUGUUAUUGACGCUGAGGCACGAAAGCGUGGGGAGCAAAUAGGAUUAGAUACCCUAGUAGUCCACGCCGUAAACGAUGAGUACUAGGUGUUGGGAUUAUCUCAGCGCCGCAGCUAACGCAUUAAGUACUCCGCCUGAGUAGUAUGCUCGCAAGAGUGAAACUCAAAGGAAUUGACGGGGACCCGCACAAGUGGUGGAGCAUGUGGUUUAAUUCGAAGCAACACGAAGAACCUUACCAGGGCUUGACAUCCAGUGCAAAGCUAUAGAGAUAUAGUGGAGGUUAACAUUGAGACAGGUGGUGCAUGGUUGUCGUCAGUUCGUGCCGUGAGGUGUUGGGUUAAGUCCCGCAACGAACGCAACCCUUGUCGUUAGUUACUAACAUUUAGUUGAGGACUCUAACGAGACUGCUAGUGUAAGCUAGAGGAAGGUGGGGAUGACGUCAAAUCAUCAUGCCCCUUAUGUCCUGGGCUACACACGUGCUACAAUGGCUGGUACAAAGAGUCGCAAUCUCGCGAGGGGGAGCUAAUCUCAAAAAGCCAGUCUCAGUUCGGAUUGAAGUCUGCAACUCGACUUCAUGAAGCCGGAAUCACUAGUAAUCGCGAAUCAGCUAUGUCGCGGUGAAUACGUUCUCGGGUCUUGUACACACCGCCCGUCACACCACGAGAGUUGGUAAUACCAGAAGUGGGUAGCUUAACCGCAAGGAGAGCGCCUCCCAAGGUAGGACUGGCGAUUGGGGUGAAGUCGUAACAAGGUAUCCGUACGGGAACGUGCGGAUGGAUCACCUCCUUUCUAUGGAG
rnacentral:rRNA from 1 species